GGCAGGGGCUGCCCGGGGGGCUCUCUAGGCAGGUCCAGGGAUGCUAUCUCCCCUCCCCCCAUUCAAAGAGCUCAGUUCCAGAGAAUGGAGACCCCGAAGGACACAAGGGGACCACAGGGGGACAAGAGCCCAGGGGGACUGUUAGGUUAGGACUCAUGACCAGCCCUGGAGCAUGGGCGUGUGUGCAGGUGCAGGUGUGUGCACGUGUGUGUGUGUGUGUGAUAUGGUCUGUGCAGGGAUGGGGUGUGCACAUGUGGGUGGUCCUCACCUGAAUCUCUGGGCAGUGAUCACCUGGGUCUUUCCAUGGUGUGUCUUGCGACUUGCGACUUCCAUGGACGUGAGCAGACACCCCAAAGCUGGGGCUCCUUAGGUGUUCAAAGCACUCAUUCAAACAAAGCUGAGCUGCUGUGCCGGCGCUGGGCUUCUCCAGCUGCUGGUGUGCACAGGGAUGCGGGUCCACCCUGCAGCCCUGGGUCUGGGGACGUCUGUGAGCUG
rnacentral:lncRNA from 1 species